AACCUCCGCAAUGUGAGAAAUCGCGACGGGGGGAUCCCAAGUGCCAUUCUUAACGGGAUGGCUUUUCAUUAGUGUAAAGAGCUUUUGGAAUAAGGGCUGGGCAAGACCGGUGCCAGCCGCCGCGGUAACACCGGCAGCUCUAGUGGUAGCAGUUUUUAUUGGGCCUAAAGCGUCCGUAGCCGGUUUAAUAAGUCUCUGGUGAAAUCCUGUAGCUUAACUGUGGGAAUUGCUGGAGAUACUAUUAGACUUGAGACCGGGAGAGGUUAGAGGUACUCCCAGGGUGGAGGUGAAAUUCUGUAAUCCUGGGAGGACCGCCUGUUGCGAAGGCGUCUAACUGGAACGGUUCUGACGGUGAGGGACGAAAGUUAGGGGCGCGAACCGGAUUAGAUACCCGGGUAGUCCUAACUGUAAACGAUGCGGACUUGGUGUUGGGGUGGCUUUGAGCUGCUCCAGUGCCGAAGGGAAGCUGUUAAGUCCGCCGCCUGGGAAGUACGGUCGCAAGACUGAAACUUAAAGGAAGU
rnacentral:rRNA from 1 species